rnacentral:rRNA from 1 species
GGUUGUAAACCUCUUUCAGCAGGGACGAAGCGCAAGUGACGGUACCUGCAGAAGAAGCACCGGCUAACUACGUGCCAGCAGCCGCGGUAAUACGUAGGGUGCGAGCGUUGUCCGGAAUUAUUGGGCGUAAAGAGCUCGUAGGCGGCUUGUCGCGUCGGAUGUGAAAACCCGGGGCUUAACUCCGGGUCUGCAUUCGAUACGGGCAGGCUAGAGUGUGGUAGGGGAGAUCGGAAUUCCUGGUGUAGCGGUGAAAUGCGCAGAUAUCAGGAGGAACACCGGUGGCGAAGGCGGAUCUCUGGGCCAUUACUGACGCUGAGGAGCGAAAGCGUGGGGAGCGAACAGGAUUAGAUACCCUGGUAGUCCACGCCGUAAACGUUGGGAACUAGGUGUGGGUCACAUUCCACGUGUUCCGCGCCGCACCUAACGCAUUAA